UACCUGCCUCAGGUAAGAUAAGACCCCCUGGACUACCUGCCUCAGGUAAGAUAAGACCCCCUGGACUACCUGCCUCAGGUAAGAUAAGACCCCCUGGACUACCUGCCUCAGGUAAGAUAAGACCCCCUGGACUACCUGCCUCAGGUAAGAUAAGACCCCCUGGACUACCUGCCUCAGGUAAGAUAAGACCCCCUGGACUACCUGCCUCAGGUAAGAUAAGACCCCCUGGACUACCUGCCUCAGGUAAGAUAAGACCCCCUGGACUACCUGCCUCAGGUAAGAUAAGACCCCCUGGACUACCUGCCUCAGGUAAGAUAAGACCACCUGUACUACCUGCAUCAGGUAAGAUAAGACCCCCUGGACUACCUGCCUCAGGUAAGAUAAGACCCCCUGGACUACCUGCCUCAGGUAAGAUAAGACCACCUGUACUACCUGCAUCAGGUAAGAUAAGACCUGUAGGACACAAACACAAAUGAAAAUGAUUGUGUUUCGUGUUAUU